GAGUUUGAUCGUGGCUCAGGACGAACGCUGGCGGCGUGCUUAACACAUGCAAGUCGAACGGUGAUCUCGGGGCUUGCUCCGGGUGAUCAGUGGCGAACGGGUGAGUAACACGUGAGCAACCUGCCCUUGACUCUGGGAUAACUCCGGGAAACCGGUGCUAAUACUGGAUAUGACCUCCGCGCGCAUGUGUGGGGGUGGAAAGACUUUGUCGGUCAGGGAUGGGCUCGCGGCCUAUCAGCUUGUUGGUGGGGUGAUGGCCUACCAAGGCGACGACGGGUAGCCGGCCUGAGAGGGCGACCGGCCACACUGGGACUGAGACACGGCCCAGACUCCUACGGGAGGCAGCAGUGGGGAAUAUUGCUCAAUGGGCGCAAGCCUGAAGCAGCGACGCCGCGUGAGGGAUGAAGGCCUUCGGUUGUAACCUACUUCAGCGCCGAAGAAGCGAGAGUGACGGUAGGCGCAGAAGAAG
rnacentral:rRNA from 1 species